GAUGAACGCUAGCUACAGGCUUAACACAUGCAAGUCGAGGGGAAACGAUAGAGAAAGCUUGCUUUUUCUAGGCGUCGACCGGCGCACGGGUGAGUAACCGCGUAUCCAACCUGCCCAUCGACUUGGGGAUAACCUUGCGAAAGUAAGACUAAUACCCAAUGAUAUCUCUAGAAGACAUCUGAAAGAGAUUAAAGAUUUAUCGGUGAUGGAUGGGGAUGCGUCUGAUUAGCUUGUUGGCGGGGUAACGGCCCACCAAGGCGACGAUCAGUAGGGGUUCUGAGAGGAAGGUCCCCCACAUUGGAACUGAGACACGGUCCAAACUCCUACGGGAGCAGCAGUGAGGAAUAUUGGUCAAUGGAC
rnacentral:rRNA from 1 species